UACGGCAAGAUCACGUUGAAACAUCGGUUCCAGUUCGAUGACGGAAGUUAAGCAACAUCGAGCUUGGUCAGUAGCUAGAUGGGUGACCGCUUGAGAAUACCAAGUGCUG